AACCUCCGCAAUGUGAGAAAUCGCGACGGGGGGAUCCCAAGUGCCAUUCUUAACGGGAUGGCUUUUCAUUAGUGUAAAGAGCUUUUGGAAUAAGGGCUGGGCAAGACCGGUGCCAGCCGCCGCGGUAACACCGGCAGCUCUAGUGGUAGCAGUUUUUAUUGGGCCUAAAGCGUCCGUAGCCGGUUUAAUAAGUCUCUGGUGAAAUCCUGUAGCUUAACUGUGGGAAUUGCUGGAGAUACUAUUAGACUUGAGACCGGGAGAGGUUAGAGGUACUCCCAGGGUAGAGGUGAAAUUCUGUAAUCCUGGGAGGACCGCCUGUUGCGAAGGCGUCUAACUGGAACGGUUCUGACGGUGAGGGACGAAAGUUAGGGGCGCGAAACCGGAUUAGAUACCCGGGUAGUCCUAACUGUAAACGAUGCGGACUUGGUGUUGGGGUGGCUUUGAGCUGCUCCAGUGCCGAAGGGAAGCUGUUAAGUCCGCCGCCUGGGAAGUACGGUCGCAAGACUAGAAAUUAAAGGAAGU
rnacentral:rRNA from 1 species